UCAUAGCAUAGUUAUGUUUUUUUUAUCGGCAAUUGUGUGCCAAAGAAAUUGCUCCAAAACGGAUGCGUGAACUUGAGGAGGAGGUUCCUGUUCUAUUUUGCAAGCUUGAGAAAAUGUUCCCACCAGGCUGCUUCAAUGUAAUGCAACACCUGAUAGUGCAUCUUCCAUAUGAGGCAAGGGUUGGCGGCCCUGUGGCAUAUCGUUGGAUGUAUGUUUUUGAGAGGGCAAUGCACUAUCUUCAUUUAAAAGUGCGAAACAAGGCAAGAGUGGAGGGUUCAAUCGUUGAAGCUUGUAUUGUGCAGGAGAUCACGAAUUGUGUUUCUCUUUACUUUAGUGAUCACGUUCGCACUAUAUGGAAGAAGAAUCCUCGAUAUAAUAAUGGAGGAACACACGUGCAGAAUGAUGGUUGCACCUUAGAUGUGUUUCAGCAUGUAGGAAACCUACAUGGGAGGCCUAUUGCCCGAGAACUAUCGCGUGACGAGUUGAAUGCAGCAAGGCUGUACAUUUUGACUAACUGCUCUGCUGUUGAUAGAUUUCAUGAGUAAGUGAUGAAUAAUUUGUAAUUUUAGAAUUGAAGUGUGCAAGAUGUUUAUAAUCAUACGCGGAUUUGCAGAACAUUUGAAGAUGAAAAAUAUGCAAUUCAUCCAAACUUGACAUCGGAGGGCCUUGAUGAAAUGAUGGCAUCCGAAUUUGUGGAAUGGUUCGAGAUUGCUUGCAAAGAAGAUCCCAAUUCUGAUGAGGACUUGUGGAAUUUAGCUAAUGGAUGCAGCUCUAGAGCCUAUUCCUAUAGCUCCUAUGAUGCGAAUGGCUUUCGCUUUAGAUCAGAGAUAUCUGAGGAAAAACAUACAAGGUUGAAAACGGUGAACA